AUUGAACGCUGGCGGCAUGCUUUACACAUGCAAGUCGGACGGCAGCACAGAGAAGCUUGCUUCUUGGGUGGCGAGUGGCGACCGGGUGAGUAAUAUAUCGGAACGUACCGAGUAAUGGGGGAUAACUAAUCGAAAGAUUAGCUAAUACCGCAUAUUCUCUGAGGAGGAAAGCAGGGGACCUUCGGGCCUUGCGUUAUUCGAGCGGCCGAUAUCUGAUUAGCUAGUUGGUGGGGUAAAGGCCUACCAAGGCGACGAUCAGUAGCGGGUCUGAGAGGAUGAUCCGCCACACUGGGACUGAGACACGGCCCAGACUCCUACGGGAGGCAGCAGUGGGGAAUUUUGGACAAUGGGCGCAAGCCUGAUCCAGCCAUGCCGCGUGUCUGAAGAAGGCCUUCGGGUUGUAAAGGACUUUUGUCAGGGAAGAAAAGGCUGUUGCUAAUACCGACAGCUGAUGACGGUACCUGAAGAAUAAGCACCGGCUAACUACGUG
rnacentral:rRNA from 1 species